rnacentral:lncRNA from 1 species
UAUAACACGUCGGUUUUUGUUCUUUAUUUGCAGUUUGACAAGAAAAAGGAACCAGUUGUGUACACUCAAGAACAUAUUGACGAAGUCAGGCUGGAAUUGGCAGAAUUCGGGAACAAGCAAUUACAGAACAAUAAGUGAUAUAAUUUAUUUUGAAAAUGUUUAAGUUUAUUUUAAUUUUUUGAUAAUGUAUAUAAACAUAUUUUUGGUAAUUAAUUGAACAUUCAAAAAAAUCAAAUGAAAUAUAUUUUUGUUUCUAGUUGUUUUUUUUUUGUUUUGUUUGUUUUUUUAGUAUAAGAUAUUUUUGUCGUUAAAUGAAAUAAAAUGAAAAUAACUCAUUAAAAUUUAAAUUAAUUCCCAAAAACCGACGUCUCAUUCUUAUUUACAUGUCUCAUAUCUAUACACAACCGCCGUCUUAUUAUAGUGGGAAAGAAAACAUCGACGACAUUUCUAAAAAACGUCAUAUAAGGUUGCUAUACACGACGGUUAAUAUAUAAGACUGAAAUCUACGAAAAAUUUUGUAUAGAUAUACUACAUCCGUGUGUACAACAAAGAGGAUGUGUUAAAGACAUACAACGUCCGUUACAGGUUAAAAUGUGAUGUUGUAUAUCUAAACGACGUCAUCAUCAACAUAAUAAUCGACUGUGUAAAUUCUGCUGAAAGGACCCGCCCCGAAUUUUCUCAAUACUCGAGGCGAACCUUUUGGAAUUCCUGACAUAACCU